rnacentral:lncRNA from 1 species
UUUUUGGGGAUACGCGCGAUUUUCCAGCUCCACAUCAAAUUUGCGGUCCCCGGGCGACGGCGACCUCCCCCCGCCAGCCCACUCGCUGCGACGUGCUGAUCCAGCUUUAUAAAUACAGGCGGGUUUCUGAUGAUUUAGACAGGCUUCUCUCACAUUCUGGUGGGUAAGAGGGCACGAGGAGUUGGAGGUGUAGUGCAGAGAAGGUGGGAAGCUAUGGACGCAGCAGACGCCGGAGGAGAUGGCGGAGUUCCUCGCCUCGUAUUUCUUCCUACGCCAGGUAUGGGUCACCUCAUCCCCUUGGCUGAGUUCGCCAAGCGNNNNNNNN